AACGACUCUCGGCAACGGAUAUCUCGGCUCUUGCAUCGAUGAAGAACGUAGCGAAAUGCGAUACUUGGUGUGAAUUGCAGAAUCCCGUGAACCAUUGAGUCUUUGAACGCAAGUUGCGCCCUAAGCCGUUAGGCCGAGGGCACGUCCGCCUGGGUGUCACGCAU
rnacentral:rRNA from 5 species